rnacentral:rRNA from 1 species
UACGUAGGGGGCAAGCGUUAUCCGGAUUCACUGGGUGUAAAGGGAGCGUAGACGGCCAUGCAAGCCUGGAGUGAAAGCCCAGGGCCCAACCCCGGGACUGCUCUGGGAACUGUGCGGCUGGAGUGCGGGAGGGGCAGGCGGAAUUCCUGGUGUAGCGGUGAAAUGCGUAGAUAUCAGGAGGAACACCGGCGGCGAAGGCGGCCUGCUGGACCGCGACUGACGUUGAGGCUCGAAAGCGUGGGGAGCAAACAGG